UACGGAGGGUGCAAGCGUUGUCCGGAUUUACUGGGCGUAAAGAGCGCGCAGGCGGUCGUUCAAGUCGAGUGUGAAAGCCCCCGGCUCAACUGGGGAGGGUCACUCGAUACUGAUCGACUCGAAGGCAGGAGAGGGAAGUGGAAUUCCCGGUGUAGUGGUGAAAUGCGUAGAUAUCGGGAGGAACACCAGUGGCGAAGGCGACUUCCUGGCCUGUUCUUGACGCUGAGGCGCGAAAGCUAGGGGAGCAAACGGG
rnacentral:rRNA from 1 species